CGGUUGAUCCUGCCGGACCCGACCACUAUUUGGGUGAGGAUAAGCCAUGCAAGUCGAAUGGGAUAAUUAUCCCAUGGCAAACUGCUCAAUAACACAUGAUCAACUUACCUAUAGAGAAACAUAACCUCGGGAAACUGAGGAAUGUUUCAUAAUUGAAAAGGCUUGGAAAAGUUUUUCAAUGAAAGGGAUAAAGAAAAUGGUCUUUAUCCGCUAUAGGAUAGGAUCGUGGUCGAUUAUGGUAGUUGGUGAGGUAAUGGCUCACCAAGCCGAUAAUCGAUGGGGGCCGUGAGAGCGGGAGCCCCGAGAUGGGUACUGAGACAACGACCCCAGGCCUUACGAGGCGCAGCAGGCGCGAAACCUCCGCAAUACACGAAAGUGUGACGGGGUUACCCAAAGUGCUCUUUCUAGAGCUGUGAUAGGUGAGUAAUGUUCCCUAUUAGAAAGGAGAGGGCAAGGCUGGUGCCAGCCGCCGCGGUAAAACCAGCUCUUCAAGUGGUCGGGAUAAUUAUUGGGCUUAAAGUGUCCGUAGCCGGUUUAGUAAGUUCCUGGUAAAAUCGGGUAGCUUAACUAUCCGUAUGCUAGGAAUACUACUAUACUAGAGGGCGGGAGAAGUCUGAGGUACUACAGGGGUAGGGGUGAAAUCUUAUAAUCCUUGUAGGACCACCAGUGGCGAAGGCGUCAGACUGGAACGCGCCUGACGGUGAGGGACGAAAGCCAGGGGAGCGAACCGGAUUAGAUACCCGGGUAGUCCUGGCUGUAAACGAUGCAUACUAGGUGAUGGCACGGCCAUGAGCCGUGUCAGUGCCGUAGGGAAACCGUUAAGUGUGCCGCCUGGGAAGUACGGUCGCAAGGCUAAAACUUAAAGGAAUUGGCGGGGGAGCAC
rnacentral:rRNA from 1 species